UUUCCUCUUUCUCUCACUGCGCCAUGGCGAGGACGACCUGCAGCGCUGCUUUCGAGCAACUCGUGCUUCGGAUCAGAGGCACGAAGAUGGGUUUAACCCGAGCAGAACCAAGAUGGUGCUGUUGGAUUCUACCCAAGCUGAGUUCUUAACAUGGACCGUUUGGCUUGCAUAGCACUGGUGAUUGCCGGUUCCUUCAAGAACUACAGCCAUGAUCGGCGGAGUGGAGCGGUGUGUGCGCUUGCUGGCUUUCUGAUCUGACUGCACUGAUGACCGGUCUAAUCAUUCUGACAAGCAUGAUUAACCUUCAGCCACUGAGUACAGACCUUCAAGCCGCACUCACCUGCUUUUCAGUUUAACCUUCUUGACCAGAUACCUUUUGGUUACAGGAGGCCAACUGUGUUCCUGGCUUUCCCCCCGUUUACUAUGGAAGGAUGCUGUUGAAGCUGGACAAGCUGUCUGGAGCUGGGGGGGAAACAACAAACGGGAGUUUUGAGAGCCAUACUUUCUCCAAGCUGAAGAUUUAAUGGAUGUCCGACUUCUAGUUUAUCAUUUAUUUUUAAAUGUGGUUCUGUAAUGCAGCUGUGGAACUUUCUGUCUAGACAGUCGUUCUUUUAUGGCUGAAUUACUUUGAUCCUUGGUUUGCAGUUUUGCAUGUUGAUUCAUUUACAGGGUUUAAAGGGAAGCACAGCUUCUAAACCAGUCAUGCAACUACGUUCCUAAAGGGGUGGGUUCCUGCAGUAAUGUUUGUCUACUGGAUACCAAAUCAAGACCACUACAUGGUAGUGGAGGGUGCACUGGAAACUGUUUAAAGCAGUGGUCUACACACAAUAAGCUGAGAUGCAUGGAGUGUGUAGGAUUAUAUAAGCAGUGCAUCUUAUGCAACCUUACAUUGUAUUUUAGUUCCCUUCCAUGUUUUGUUUACAUGACCUCCAUUGACCCAAGUAACUGCUGUAACUAUGAAUGUUACUGAUUCUGAUGUUUUAAUAAUGAAUUUGUGCUGUAAAACGUACAUUUCAUGCGUCCUGUUCAUAACUGCAGCCUCUGAUGUCUAAAGGUGUCAUUUGGGUGAUUUUUACCAAACUACCUGUAUUAAAAUAUCACCUUUUUAAUAUAA